UACAGGGGGGGCAAGCGUUGUUCGGAAUUACUGGGCGUAAAGGGCUCGUAGGUGGCCAACUAAGUCAGACGUGAAAUCCCUCAGCUUAACUGGGGAACUGCGUCUGAUACUGGAUGGCUUGGAUUCGGGAGAGGAAUGCGGAAUUCCAGGUGUAGCGGUGAAAUGCGUAGAUAUCUGGAGGAACACCGGUGGCGAAGGCGGCAUUCUGGACCGACAUUGACGCUGAGGCACGAAGGUCAGGGGAGCAAACGGG
rnacentral:rRNA from 1 species